rnacentral:tRNA from 1 species
GCACCCGUAGCUCAGUUGGAUUAGAGCGUCUGGCUACGAACCAGAAGGUCGGGGGUUCGAAUCCCUCCGGGUGUACCA